rnacentral:lncRNA from 1 species
GGAGAAAAGAUAUUCUCCAAGUUGCACAGUAAGAUGGGAAUGUUCACAUGAAGUUGUUCUACGACAUCCUCUUUAAGAGUGUGUGUGCUCAGAUCCAUAAAAAUGCUCCAAUGCGUUGUAUAUUCCAAUUAAACACAUGAUUAUUAGUCAUAUUAGUUAUUUGUGCAUAUUAUAGAGCAAUAAAGAAAUUAAUGUGUAUAUUACC